rnacentral:misc_RNA from 1 species
GCUACUACCGAUUGAAUGGUUUAGUGAGGACUCCUGAUUGGCGCCGCCGCCCCGGCAACGGAGCAGCGGACUGCCGAAAAGUUGUUCAAACUUGAUCAUUUAGAGGAAGUAAAAGUCGUAACAAGGUUUUCGUAGGUGAACCUGCAGAAGGACA